UACGUAGGGGGCUAGCGUUGUCCGGAAUUAUUGGGCGUAAAGAGCUUGUAGGCGGUUUGUCGCGUCUGCUGUGAAAUUUCGGGGCUCAACCCCGAACUUGCAGUGGGUACGGGCAGACUAGAGUGUGGUAGGGGAGACUGGAAUUCCUGGUGUAGCGGUGAAAUGCGUAGAUAUUGGGAGGAACACCAGUGGCGAAGGCGGCUACCUGGACCGGUUCUGACGCUGAGGCGCGAAAGCGUGGGGAGCAAACAGG
rnacentral:rRNA from 1 species